UAAGGAAUAUUAGAAAUGGACGAAAGUCUGAUAUAGCAACACCGCGUGUGCGAAGAAGGCCUUCGGGUUGUAAAGCACUUUUUGGAAGGAAUAGGAAGGAAUGUACUUCCAGAAUAAGUCUCGGCUAACUACGUGCCAGCAGCCGCGGUAACACGUAGGAGGCGAACGUUAUCCGGAUUUACUGGGCGUAAAGCGCGCGUAGGUGGUUCUGUAAGUAGGGCGUGAAAGCUCCUGGCUCAACUGGGAGAGGCCGUUCUAAACUACAGAACUAGAGGAUGGUAGAGGGAGGUUGAAGUCCAGGUGUAGCGGUGGAAUGCGCAGAUAUCUGGAGGAACACCAGUGGCGAAGGCGGCCUCCUGGGCCAUUCCUGACACUCAGACGCGAAAGCUAAGGUAGCAAACG
rnacentral:rRNA from 1 species